GGACGAACGCUGGCGGCGUGCUUAACACAUGCAAGUCGAGCGGAAAGGCUCCUUCGGGGGUACUCGAGCGGCGAACGGGUGAGUAACACGUGAGUAAUCUGCCCUUGGCUUUGGGAUAACUACCGGAAACGGUGGCUAAUACCGGAUACGACCACUCCUUGCAGGAGGUGGUGGUGGAAAGUUUUUUCGGCCAGAGAUGUGCUCGCGGCCUAUCAGCUUGUUGGUGGGGUAAUGGCCUACCAAGGCUUCGACGGGUAGCCGGCCUGAGAGGGUGACCGGCCACACUGGGACUGAGACACGGCCCAGACUCCUACGGGAGGCAGCAGUGGGGAAUAUUGGACAAUGGGCGGAAGCCUGAUCCAGCAACGCCGCGUGAGGGAUGACGGCCUUCGGGUUGUAAACCUCUUUCAGUACCGACGAAGCGCCGAUGAUGGUGGUGACGGUAGGUACAGAAGAAGCACCGGCCAACUACGUG
rnacentral:rRNA from 1 species